rnacentral:rRNA from 1 species
UACGGGGGGGGCAAGCGUUGUUCGGAAUUACUGGGCGUAAAGGGCGCGUAGGCGGCAAUUCAAGUCAUCUGUGAAAUCUCCGAGCUUAACUCGGAACGGUCAGAUGAUACUGCUUUGCUAGAGUGCAGAAGGGGCAACCGGAAUUCUUGGUGUAGCGGUGAAAUGCGUAGAUAUCAAGAGGAACACCGGAGGUGAAGACGGGUUGCUGGGCUGACACUGACGCUGAGGCGCGAAAGCUAGGGUAGCAAACGGG